rnacentral:rRNA from 1 species
GACUGAGUGGCGGACGGGUGAGUAACGCGUGGAUAACCUACCAUAUACAGGGGGACAACAGUUGGAAACGACUGCUAAUACCGCAUAAGCGCACAGUGCCGCAUGGCACGGUGUGAAAAACUCCGGUGGUAUAUGAUGGAUCCGCGUCUGAUUAGCUAGUUGGUGAGGUAAUGGCCCACCAAGGCAACGAUCAGUAGCCGACCUGAGAGGGUGACCGGCCACAUUGGGACUGAGACACGGCCCAAACUCC